UACGGAGGGUGCAAGCGUUGUCCGGAUUUAUUGGGUUUAAAGGGUGCAUAGGUGGUUUUCUAAGUCUGGUUUGAAAGCUGGUGGCUUAACCAUCAGAUGUGGCUGGAAACUGGAGGACUUGAAUGCGUUGGCGGUAGCCGGAACGGGUCAUGUAGCGGUGAAAUGCAUAGAUAUGCCCCAGAACACCGAUUGCGAAGGCAGGCUACUACGACGUGAUUGACACUGAGGCACGAGAGCAUGGGUAGCGAACAGG
rnacentral:rRNA from 1 species